AGCGAACGCUGGCGGCAGGCCUAACACAUGCAAGUCGAACGGAUCCUUCGGGAUUAGUGGCGGACGGGUGAGUAACACGUGGGAACGUGCCCUUUGGUUCGGAACAACUCAGGGAAACUUGAGCUAAUACCGGAUGUGCCCUUCGGGGGAAAGAUUUAUCGCCAUUGGAGCGGCCCGCGUCUGAUUAGCUAGUUGGUGAGGUAACGGCCCACCAAGGCGACGAUCAGUAGCUGGUCUGAGAGGAUGAUCAGCCACACUGGGACUGAGACACGGCCCAGACUCGUACGGGAGGCAGCAGUGGGGAAUCUUGCGCAAUGGGCGAAAGCCUGACGCAGCCAUGCCGCGUGAAUGAUGAAGGUCUUAGGAUUGUAAAAUUCUUUCAGCGGGGACGAUAAUGACGGUACCCGCAGAAGAAGCUCCGGCUAACUUCGU
rnacentral:rRNA from 1 species